rnacentral:rRNA from 1 species
AUUGAACGCUGGCGGCAUGCCUUACACAUGCAAGUCGAACGGCAGCAUGGGUGCUUGCACCUGAUGGCGAGUGGCGAACGGGUGAGUAAUGCAUCGGAACGUACCCGGAAGUGGGGGAUAACGUAGCGAAAGUUACGCUAAUACCGCAUAUUCUGUGAGCAGGAAAGCGGGGGAUCGCAAGACCUCGCGCUUCCGGAGCGGCCGAUGUCGGAUUAGCUAGUUGGCGGGGUAAAGGCCCACCAAGGCAACGAUCCGUUGCGGGUCUGAGAGGAUGAUCCGCCACACUGGGACUGAGACACGGCCCAGACUCCUACGGGAGGCAGCAGUGGGGAAUUUUGGACAAUGGGGGCAACCCUGAUCCAGCCAUGCCGCGUGAGUGAAGAAGGCCUUCGGGUUGUAAAGCUCUUUCGGCCGGGAAGAAAUCGCACAGGUUAAUACCUUGUGUGGAUGACGGUACCGGAAUAAGAAGCACCGGCUAACUACGUGCCAGCCGCCGCCGUAAAAC